rnacentral:rRNA from 1 species
CAGUAGCCGCGGUAAUACGAAGGGUGCAAGCGUUAAUCGGAAUUACUGGGCGUAAAGCGUGCGUAGGCGGUUUGUUAAGUCUGUUGUGAAAUCCCCGGGCUCAACCUGGGAAUGGCAAUGGAUACUGGCAAGCUAGAGUGUGUCAGAGGAUGGUGGAAUUCCCGGUGUAGCGGUGAAAUGCGUAGAGAUCGGGAGGAACAUCAGUGGCGAAGGCGGCCAUCUGGGACAACACUGACGCUGAGGCACGAAAGCGUGGGGAGCAGACAGGAUUAGAUACCCGGGUAGUCCCUGUCUCUUAUAC